GCAUGAAGUCGGAAUUGCUAGUAAUCGCGGAUCAGCAUGCCGCGGUGAAUACGUUCCCGGGCCUUGUACACACCGCCCGUCACACCAUGAGAGCCGGGGGGACCCGAAGUCCGUAGCUUAACCGCAAGGAGGGCGCGGCCGAAGGUAAAACUGGUGAUUGGGGUGAAGUCGUAACAAGGUAGC
rnacentral:rRNA from 1 species